rnacentral:rRNA from 1 species
GACGAACGCUGGCGGCGUGCUUAACACAUGCAAGUCGAACGGAAAGGCCCUGCUUUUGUGGGGUGCUCGAGGGCGAACGGGUGAGUAACACGUGAGUAACCUGCCCUUGACUUUGGGAUAACUUCAGGAAACUGGGGCUAAUACCGGAUAGGAGCUCCUGCUGCAUGGUGGGGGUUGGAAAGUUUCGGCGGUUGGGGAUGGACUCGCGGCUUAUCAGCUUGUUGGUGGGGUAGUGGCUUACCAAGGCUUUGACGGGUAGCCGGCCUGAGAGGGUGACCGGCCACAUUGGGACUGAGAUACGGCCCAGACUCCUACGGGAGGCAGCAGUGGGGAAUAUUGCACAAUGGGCGGAAGCCUGAUGCAGCAACGCCGCGUGCGGGAUGACGGCCUUCGGGUUGUAAACCGCUUUCGCCUGUGACGAAGCGUGAGUGACGGUAAUGGGUAAAGAAGCACCGGCUAACUACGUG